rnacentral:rRNA from 1 species
GAUCAGCUUGCUUCGCGGAGCUUGCGCAUUUCCUCGCAUGGCAGGUCAGCGUCAGUUUUGCGCGGCGUGAAAAGGCUCGGGUAAGGUAGCUCUCUUCGGGGAGUGUUAUAGACCUGGGCAAAUGCGCAGCGCGGGACUGAGGAUUGCAGCGGACACCUCUUCGGGGGCGCGGCGACCGAACCCUGCUCGGCCACCCUCGUUCGAUAGCGUGCUAGCGGACGCGGGAGCGGCAGUGCACCGGAACAGGCAAGCCAGCGGUUCGCUUAGGAUGCUGACGUA